rnacentral:lncRNA from 1 species
UGGGGUGACGGAUUAGGGUGCCCCCCUAGCAGGGGAGAGCAGGGACUGCCCGGGAAAGGGGCCGCUGGCGAAGUUAACCACCCUGUAACAACAUACAUACAUACGGCAUGCCUGCUGGUCACGCCCGUUACACCCAGGUGCUGGGCGUUGGCAACACCCACUAUUAGCCAGCCCAUGUCUUGCACCCAAUUUGGUACCUCUUCCCGCAAGUGCGCCUGCUAUACAUGCCUCUCUGCUUGUCAUAUCGCACUUGCUCAUAAUCAUCUUCAGCACAAAUGUGGGAUAUCGAAGCAAAGGUGCGCAUCCCUAACCAUGGGCAUCCAUCUCCCUACUAUCGUGUUACCAUCUAUCCAGUAAGAUGUCAAUGCACUCAAGUUUAAUGUUCAUAUGGAACGCUUGAGCCUGAGCAACUUAAAUUUGCGAAAUGAAAGCCAUGUCCACCGGAACAGCUGCGCGAAGAACUCUGUUCCAACUGUUCCAAAGGGUUCUCCUAACAGCUGUCCACAAGGCUUCGUCUGCAGCAUUGUGCGAGAAAAAGAACCGCGGGAACGCUCUCUAGAGUUUGUAGGUAAACAGAAUAGCAACAGCUGCUGAGAGCCAACCUGACGUGCGACGUAUUCCUGAGAUUGUGACCUCGUUUUCUCAAGACGCGAGGUCUGAGCAAGCCACAUUCAGGUGGUGUCGCGACAGCCCGAGCUG